rnacentral:tRNA from 1 species
GCGGUAAGUAUUCGUUUAGAGGCCAUUUUUGACCUCUCCCGAAUACAGAAUUAGAACCGUACCUUGCCAAGGUAAGGGUCGCCGGUUCGAGCCCGGUCUCCCGCU